rnacentral:rRNA from 1 species
GAUGAACGCUAGCGACAGGCUUAACACAUGCAAGUCGAGGGGCAGCACAGGGUAGCAAUACUUGGGUGGCGACCGGCGCACGGGUGAGUAACGCGUAUGCAACUUACCUAUCAGAGGGGGAUAGCCCGGCGAAAGUCGGAUUAAUACCCCAUGAAACAGGGGUCCCGCAUGGGAAUAUUUGUUAAAGAUUCAUCGCUGAUAGAUAGGCAUGCGUUCCAUUAGGCAGUUGGCGGGGUAACGGCCCACCAAACCGACGAUGGAUAGGGGUUCUGAGAGGAAGGUCCCCCCACAUUGGUACUGAGACACGGACCAAACUCCUACGGGAGGCAGCAGUGAGGAAUAUUGGUCAAUGGGCCGAGAGGCUGAACCAGCCAAGUCGCGUGAAGGAAGAAGGAUCUAUGGUUGUAAACUUCUUUUAUAGGGGAAUAAAGUGGAGGACGUGUCCUUUUUGUAUGUACCCUAUGAAUAAGCAUCGGCUAACUCCGUG